UCUCUUUUAUGUCACACAUGCGCAGUAGACAGCACUAUCUUUUAAGGCCAGGAGGCUUUAUUGAUAGCCUAUUUAUAACAAAAACAAAACGUUAUUCACGUUGCUUAACGUAACGACUCAUUAUAAAUAUGCUGUUAAGUCCCCACAAACUAAUACUGAGCUCUUUUGGGCUGUUAAAAUCAAGUUUUGAUUUUAGCAAGUCUUUUUCUGUUUGAUUGAAUUAAAACGAACCCUGUAAACAUUGACAUAAAUUUGUCCAGAGCGUGAUUUGCGCACAACAACCUCUAGGCCUAUAACGUUUUGAAUAGUUUCAAAUAUUUCAUUCAUAAAUCCCCAGACCCCCUCCCUCUGCUACUACACCAAUGAUGUCAUUUUAUUGCGACCACUCUCUGGAUUGUGGAUUUUACGGACUGCAUUCCCAUGUACUGGGUUUAGCUGGACCGUAUUGGACUGGAGGUGACAGGAUAUUUUGUACCUGCUUCGGACUGGUUCUGUCAUUAACCUACUGAGCUGGUGCUUCUGUCCCAGGCAUCUCCAUCGCAUCGCUCCUAGGCAUCUGAAAGUGUACCGUUGCGCACAGAUCAUGCUGGUAACGAGUUAUUCAAAGGGUCUACCAAUCAUGGCAAAAACAGAAAUCCAGCUCCUCAGCCCAGGCAGUGCCAACAACCCAGCUGAUCCAGGAGCUGCAGCG